GAGGUGAGGCCUUUGCUCAGGCUGUGGGGCCGCCGUAGCUGCGGGGCUUGGGGGGUCAGGAGAGCCGGCUGGGAGAGGCGGCGUCAGGGUGGGUCCUGCGCCUGCCCUUUCCGCGCCGGCUUUGCGCCGUCGUUGCCGUCGGUUCUCCAGCCAGCAGCCUGCCUCCGGCCUCCCGCCUCCGGGCGUUCUUCGUUUUCUGGUCGGACGGGCCUGGGUGAACUCUGCUGCACGUCGGCUCCGCGGGCCUUUGUCCCCGAGGCCGCGCCGGGAGCUCCCAAGCGCACUCCUGGGCCGGACCUCGGCGCGGGACAAAAGCCAAACGCCCCAGGCGGGCAGACCCCGAUCCUGCUGCGCCGCCUUCAAGGGGGACCGCCGGCCGCGAGCCAGGUUGGGAUUUGCUGUGUUCCUGGGCAGGUGCCUGGUCAAUCAGUCCUCGGGAUGGCAGCCAUCAACCCGUGGGCCUCCUGGGGUGCCCUUACGGACCAAUCUUGGGGGAUGACAGCUGUUGACCCAUGGGCCUCCUGGGGAACCAGUGACCUUCAAGGACGUGGCCGUGGACUUCACCCAAGAAG
rnacentral:lncRNA from 1 species